GUGAUUCAGGACACCAAGGUGAAAGCUACAAUGCCUUUUAUGACCUAACCUCGGCAGUCACACACUGUCGCUCACACUGCCUUCUACUGGGGUCAGACAGCUCUGAUCCACGGAGGGAGGUGACUGCACAGGGAAUGAAUACCAGAAACCCAGGACCAAAGGGGGCUUCUGAGAGUAAAGCUAGCCCAAGUGAUGUGACGGCGUGGGAGAGAAUACAGCCCCCACUUGAGAGGGCUGCAGGGAAAGCAGUGUCCUCAGGGGAAAGCCAGGUUUCAGUUAUACAGCAAAGUGAAGAGAGACUUUAGAGAAUUUUCAGAAAAAAACACAGAGAACUUGGGCUGUGGGGCCUUUUGUUAUCUGAUCUUGAACUCCACAGCACACCAAGGAAGGAGUCUGGGAGUUGGGGACAGGUGGUGACGCCAGUCGUGUUGAGGAAAUAAACCAGCAGGACCACGUGCUGUCCCCAGGGCUGCCCCUUUAUUUCGUCCCAAGGAGCCCAGAGGCCAGCGAAGGCUGCACAUUGAAGAUCCUUUCUAUAACAAGAGGCAAAAGUGAUCAAAAUGGGCCUGGCGAGAUGGAGAGAAGACAAACUCUCAAUGUGGAGAGUCUAAUGGGAAACCACCAAUCCAUAAAGCUGGGAGCGAACUCAAAGAAAGCCCAUCCCAUGACCUCACUCCAAAGGGAUCAGAACAUGAGUUGGGAAGCACAUACCUGAACAUUUAUGGUGCCUUGCAGAUUCCCUUUUGAAGAAAGACUUGCUGCCCAGCUGCCAGGAAUGUGGUCAGCAGACAACCUCCAGCUAUCACCUUCUGGGUCUGCAGAUGCUGGGAAGCACCUAAUCGGAAGUGACAGCCUCACAGGCAGCCUGUAUCUGGGAACGAGGAGAGGCCAGGGUAUAUGGGCCUGGCCAUUUCAGGCUGAAAUAUCUCUGGAGAUAUUUACUUUAGAGCUUCUGCCCAGGAGUGGCCUGCUUUGCACUUGACUUCUUCUCUGCCCCACAAUGCUUUUGCCCCCUUCCUUUCUAAAUUAUUCCUAAUUAACAAUUUGUACCCUGAUCGCCAUCUCAGCGUCUGCUCCUAAAGAAUCCAACCUGCAUUAAUACCAUGCUUAGGGAAGUACUGUCAUAAAUCAUUUUUUAGCAACUAUCAAAAGAGCUUUAUAAGGACUUUUAAAUAAAGCCUACAAUUUAAAAAUAAA